UACGUAGGGUGCAAGCGUUGUCCGGAAUUAUUGGGCGUAAAGAGCUCGUAGGCGGUUCGUCGCGUCGGCUGUGAAAACCUGAGGCUCAACCUCAGGCCUGCAGUCGAUACGGGGCGGACUUGAGUACUGCAGGGGAGACUGGAAUUCCUGGUGUAGCGGUGAAAUGCGCAGAUAUCAGGAGGAACACCGGCGGCGAAGGCGGCCAACUGGACGAACACUGAACGCUGAGAACACGAAAGCGUGGGGAGCAAACAGG
rnacentral:rRNA from 1 species